rnacentral:misc_RNA from 1 species
GUGCCUGGAAGGCACCAAGAGCCUUGACUGGGUUCCUUGCAAGCACAACUCAUCCUACUCAGUGUUCCUCUACUCCUUUUGGGCGAUAUGGAAGACGAGAUCGUCUCCGCCGAUGUAGAUGUUAUGAUGUGGAUGAACGCUAUCCUGUUGAAGUUCUGCGAGGGGUCCCUGGCUCAAUGCUUCUACUAUCUGCUUCUAGCAAAUGGAAAUUGUGUUGCUCUUCAUCAUUUUCUUCAGAGUUGUAUGAAGAGAUAUCUCCUGAAAGUUUGUGGGAGGAUCUUAAACCUACUAUUUCAUAUCUUUCUUGCAAGGAAUUGGAAUUGGUUCGUAA